AGUGAACGCUGGCGGCAGGCCUAACACAUGCAAGUCGAGCGGCAGCGGGUCCCCGCGAGGGGAUGCCGGCGAGCGGCGGACGGGUGAGGAACACAUCGGAAUCUGCCUGGUUGUGGGGGAUAACGUAGGGAAACUUACGCUAAUACCGCAUGCGACCCUGAGUCGACGGACUUGGGGUGAAAGUGAGGGACCUUCGGGCCUCACGCGACCAGAUGAGCCGAUGUCGGAUAGCUAGUUGGCGGGGUAACGGCCCGCCAAGGCGACGAUCCGUAGCUGGUCUGAGAGGAUGAUCAGCCACACUGGGACUGAGACACGGCCCAGACUCCUACGGGAGGCAGCA
rnacentral:rRNA from 1 species